AAAAAAAAUACAUAGAAAGCACUGGAAAUUCAUUGAAAAGGGGAGAUAACUCUUUAUUGUGUACAAAAUUUUGUUGCUUUGUUAGUAAACUUUAAAACCAUUUCAUGAGCCAUCCACUGUUGAUUCAAAAAUAUCUUUGACAUAUAUAUCCUUUGUAUGAUAUAAACAUUGCAUUAAAACCAAAAAUUCAGUGGGAAACAAAUUAUGUUGUGCCAUCCA
rnacentral:lncRNA from 1 species